AAGGAGAGAGAGGCUCUCCCUUUUCUCCUGCACCGCCAAGUGUCGGCAUGCAACUCCGGCGCCUCCUUCUUAUCUCCAGCGUCUGUCUCCCUCUCUCAUUCGAUCCGGAUCUCUCUCCUUCUCUUUGGUUCAGCCGCCGUCGUAGUUUUCCCUUUUCAUCAACUCUGUCCGUAUCUACCGACGCCACCACUGCCAUCCGCCGAACCCGCAUGGCGCCAUUGCUGUCCAUGCCUACUUGCUGAUGAAUUUGCAGCAACAUGGUUCUUUCAAGUCAAGCUUCCUCUUCUUUAGGACCCAAUGGCGGUCGACGUCGACGUUAUUGUCUUCCGGUGGCCAGAAGACAACCUUUGACUUGCAAGCGGAUUUCCUCCGCCGACCAAAGUUUGGAAACUGGGUGAUAUUUUUACUGUUUUUGCAAACUUUCAUAGGUAUUUGAUUUUUGUCGGUCUUUUUUAUUGGUUUUUGAAUAGUUAUGUAAAAUACAAGUGCUUUGUGGUGUAUAUAGAGAGAGACUGGUCAAAUUCAGGGCACAUAUAUAAAGCAAGUAAUCUAGUUAUAUAGCUUUGUUAUUUGUGUGACAAGAUUUAAUCAGAUUUAGUUGUUUCAA